GGUCACUGUACUACUUGCACACGAUAACCACAUUUAAAGGAAUAUUGUAAUCUAAUUUUGAUUUUGAUGUUUUUCAGGAACCGGCAAGUCUGAGAAGAUCAAGUGUGCUACAAUACUGAUGGUGAUGAGCUGGAUACCAGCUUAUGUGCUAAUUUCUUUCAAGGACGGGACCAGAUGUGUUUUGGAGUUGAGGACAAUGCUGAAGACUAAAAAAGCAACGGAAGAAGCACAUUAAAGCACUGAGGGUGUCGAGCCUGUUUGCCAUGUCAGAUCCAGCGGCUAGAUGGCGGGAGAUGCUUCAUACCCCUGAUUGCAUUGAAUCAUUUUAUUAAUCAAUUAAUCAAUCAAUGGUCAAUUAAUUAAUUUUAAUAUAUUUAUUUAAUAUAUUUUAAUAUAUAAAUUAUCUUAUUAUCAUAGUAAAUAAUUGGUCUCAAUUUAAUAUUUCAUAUAUUAGCUUAAAUAAGAAUGUUAUUAUAAUGUGUACGCCAUGCCAGAGGAGGAUGGGAUCCCCCUGAUGAGUCUGGUUCCUCUCAAGGGUUUUUUAUCUCCUUAAGAGUUUUUUCCUUGCCACUGUCGCCACUGGCUUGCUCACUGGGGGUGUUGUGUCAAAUCCUUUGUGCCUCUCGGGUCCCUGCCGACCAGGGUUUCCAAAACAAUAGUUUGUGAGUCGAUGAAUAUAUUUUUUUAUUAAUUAAAUCAUAGAAACAAGGCUCCACAAUCAAUUUGAAAUAAAAGUGAAAUCAUGUUAUGGCUUAGUCACUUACAAUAAAGCAGUAAGCCCUGUGAUGCCAUGAUUUACAGUGCUUUCAGAACUGCUAAGGGGUGUUGUUAAAAGCCCCUCUGGUUUUCUGAAAUCACAGGGCUUAUGGGCUUAUGCCUUUUAUAAAUACUUGCGCAGUAAUAGACGGAAUCAUGGACAGUAAUCGAGUAUUUUACAAUGGCUUUGAAUGCAACAUGCACAAGGUUCACUUUAUUUAUACAAUAAUUCAAACACUUUCACCAGUAUUCUGAUAAAUAGAAACUUGAAGGAUUUCAAACAAAAAUUAGUAUUGUGUAAAACAAGUUAAGAUGUAUCAUUUUCUUGUAGUACAAUUUUAUUAUUGCAACAGUAAAGUAUGUGAAAGUGAAGAAAUUAAAACAAAAAAUAGUAUUGUGUAAAACAAGUUAUUGCAACAGUAAGGUAUUUAUGUUUUUUUAUUUUUAUAAUCUUGUUAUUGCAGAUAUUAGAUCAUUUUAUUAUAAAGUUAAAAUAAUAUUUAUACGUGAGCUAGUACGACAUUAUAGGGUGGGAUUUGGCACAACAGGCGUUUUCUAAAUCUUUAAUAAACAUUUUGGUUGAAUUGGUA